AGUUUGUUGUGUAAGGGUGAAUUGAAAAAAAAAUGAGGAAAAAGAAGAAAGAAAAAAAACAAAGAAAAAGAAUUGAAUGAAAGAAAGUUGGGAUAUAAGUCAGAAAGUGGUUGCAACUUAAGUGAAGCAAAAGAGAAACUUACAUGCAUGAUUGGAAUUGUGUAAUCUCUUAGCUCAAGGUGCUUUGUUAUCCAGAAAAACCAUGUUUCUUUCUUAGCCCAGCCUCAAUACAAGCCNN
rnacentral:lncRNA from 1 species